UUACGGAAAAACCUAAAAUCUCUAAUCAUUGUACAUCCUUCUUGGUUUAUCAGAACACUUCUGGCUGUUACAAGACCAUUUAUUAGCUCGAAAUUCAGCCAAAAAAUUAGAUACGUCUUUAAUUUGGCAGAACUAGCAGAACUUGUCCCCAUGGAAUAUGUUGGCAUACCAGAAUGCAUAAAACAAGUUGAUCAAGAGCUUAAUGGAAAACAAGAUGAACCGAAAAGCGAACAGUAAGUUUGGCAUCUAGUCCGAACAAGACUGAAGAAUAUGCUGAUGAAGCAAUGCUCUUUUUUGCAUUUAUAAUGCACUUACUGGCCUAUAUUUUUAUGUUACAAAAUUGACUUGACUCUUUCUUAAUGGAUUUUUGUACAAGGGACUGUUCACUGCUGUAUUGGUUUGCAGAUCUCUUGAAUUUAGCUCUUUAAUUGCUAACCAUAUCAUAAUCAUUUUAUAUUUUAUAUUGCUAAAUAGCAGAGAACCACACUUUAUAUAAAGCAUUUUUUGCAUUUGUUUAUUGAAUGAUGCAUCUUCUUCAGUAAAAUAUUUAUAAGCAUAGAUGGUAAAGGAAAAGAAAUAAUAUAUAUUUUUAUGUUUUUGAGCAAUAUUUUUUAAUGUGUACCUGUCUUGUGGAAGAAUGUGCAGGUAACUGAGACCAUGAUUUUGUAAAGUGCAUGUUAGAAUUUUUGUUUUUGUAAAUGGUUAAAUACAUUUCCUGGGUAACUUAGAAAAUUAAGUUGCUCAUAAAGCGAGGAACAGUUACGUUAAACUGAUUCUCAUGAAUACCCAAAGAUCAUGUACAUAAUCUAAGUAGAUUAGUACUAUCCCAAGUUUUUUCCUCUCUUUAACAUUUAUUGUUCCUUAAUUCAGAAGCACAAAUGGAAGUGCAUUGCACAGUUUUUCCUUUUUAAACUUAAAGACAAGUCAAAAAGCCAUUUUUAGAACUAGAGAAUUUAAAAGGCGAGGAAUUAGGGUUUGUAUAUAUAUAUAUGGAUGGAUCAUUUUAUCUUCUGGCCCGAAGUCAGAACUUUAUAAAAAUCUUGGAUUUGUUCACUAAUGUGAAAUAAGCUGUGUGUCCAGGGUAUUGGUCCCCUGAAUGUGUGAGUGCUAUGUAUUAUUACAGAGAAUGUGAUGAGUUAUUCACUGUCAUGACUUUUUCUGUAAAAAACAGGCUGCUUUUUAAACCGCUCUCACUGUGGGCACUUUACCAAAAUACUUCCAUAGUAGUUUGACCUAGUCCAAUAUGAUGUGUUUUCAAGUUUCUGUUGAGUCCUGUUUGACAAUAUUGUAAAUUAGGUUAAUUUUUGUAAGUCUUACAGCAUCAUUAUAUAGUGCUGUUUUGGAUGACACAUUUGAUGUAAGUAUAUAAACUUGUUUCAUUUGGUCAGUUUCUUUACACUGAAAUAAAUUGUACUUAAGCCUCCAAACAGAGCUUAAUUAUCCACAAAAUCAUUCUAAAACAGCAGAUUAUAAUGUGUCAUACUUGAUUGACUCAUAUACAUUUACUAAACUUAAUACCCUUCAGAUUUGAAGUUCACAUUAUUCUCCAGCCCUUCCUGUAAGGUAUUUUACAAAAGAGUAGUCUAGAGUAGCAAAAUUGAAGUGGAUGUGAACUUUUAAGAUGUAUUCUAUCCUAGAUUGAACAUACCCAUGGCGUUUACCAUUGCUAUUUUUUACUGUAAAGUUUCUGUUACAAAAGGGAAUUUUCCUUUACUUUUUGUCCUUCUCAGUCAUAAAUUUGGUGUACUAACGUAAAUACAUUAGAGGAGACGCUGGAGAAUUAUCAGAAUGAGACAUUCCUCAGCAGCCUCCUGACAUUUAACUUGGAUCCAGCAGUUUUAGGCAGAUCCUGAACUAAUAUCAUUAUAGUGAACUUAGCCAAAAGCAUUAUUACUUGCUCACAUCUUAGAAACACUGUGUUAAAGAUGCAAACUAACAAUAACAACUUAGGCAUUCCUUCUGAAUUUACUAUAUAGGGAUUAUGAAUAAAAGAUCAUGUUGAAUUUAAUUGUGAUUAGAUCCUCUAUUUGUAGAAUAUUUUAAGUAGUCUUUUAUCUGUAUGUCUUUAUUUUGCUCAAAAUGGGCUGAGCUUUUUAAUAGGUGGUUUUUCCAUCACAUUAAGUUCUCGGUUCUUUGGUUUGAAAAAUACAAAGAAUGAUUUCAA